ACACACACACGGACACACACAGACACAGAGACACACAUACACACACAGUGAAAAAGGCGAGCCACCAAAACCCAUCUCCAGUCUCCUCCCGGGGGCCCCCGGCCCGCCGCUGUGCCACUUUGCAUCCCACGCCGGAGGAGACGUUGAGGAGAGCCGGCUUUUUAAUCAGUCCACGGUGUAAAGACAUCCUGCAAGAGGAUCCUUAGAAGUCUUGGACAGGCUUCCUGCAUGUGGUAGGUGCUGUGCUGGCUACCGGUGACCCAAAGAUGAUGAUAAAUAUGUUCCUGCCCACAAGGAGCUAGCGGUCCACAGGGUGUUCCUCUUGCUGAUGACACGAGUCCUCUUUGAAUCUACUUACAAGAUUCUGAAGUCUGAACAGAGAAUUUUGGCACUGCACUGGCAUUGCAAGAAAUAGAUAAUAUCAAGGACAUCAGGAGUGGGAGAAAUUGGAGACUCAAAAGGUCAGGACAUUGCAUUAUGGCUUGCUGAUCAUUCUUUUGUCAUUAAUUCUGGAGUUCUUGAUUUUUUUCAACUUGUUUAUUUCUUGUCCGUGCUUACUUGGUGUGGUCUUCACUUUUGUAAAUAAUGGCUUGAGCCUUUAUAUAAUAAGUCCAGCCUUUGGGCAUUCUCUUUUUUAGGAUUUGAAGAUGAAAAAAUAAUUUCAAGAGCUUUUUAGGAAUAGAAGAAAAUUUCUUACCUAACAAAAUACAAUUUCUAUCAUUCUUUUUAUUAUAUAAACUCUUCUGAAAUGAAGACUUUUUGAUGAUAUUUUCAGAAUCAAAACUUUGAAACAUAAUAACAUGUUAUUAAUUAUAUAAUUAUAAUGGGCAAACACUUGGGUCAUGAAAGUUAGGUUUCCUUUCUUCUCUCCUAUAUUCUCUGAGCACAGAGCACCUCUAAAUAUCUUGAUACUCUUUAGAGUCAGUCUGUUUACUAACGCUAACCUUACCACUUAAUGUUGACUACCAUAUAUAAAAUAAAGUUUUAAAUGAAACAGAUAUUUUCUAUGUAGACAGAAAAUCCCAGUAGUCACAGGGUCUACUGUGAGCAUUUUCCAACCAUUGUGGAAGGUUUAGUGUAAGCCCCCUCCUCAGUAAGCCGGAUGGAAUCAUCAAGGCCUUUGUAGCCCCGCCCCCUGUUGCCCUGUCACCAUGAGUGACUGAUCCCUUGUGUUUAUCUCCUGCUUCAGGGAAGCCUUCCAGUUGUCUUAAACAGUGAUUACAACACUAGCUGCUAUUGCUUAGUUAUUUGUAGAAGCUUGGGGAUCCUCUCCCUCUGUUACCCCUCCAGUGUUAACCACUUCCACAACUCUCCAGCAGCUUAACUUAGCUCCUCCACACAUCCAGGUCUCCUGGAGAGAAACUACCAGUGGCUUUUUCAAGUUCCAUCACACAGGGAGAUAAAUGGCUUUGUCCUUCAGUCUGAUCACAUCUCUAACAGUGAAAUGGCUUAUUCAGAAAGGAGCCAAGCUUAAAAUUUCUUCUGCCUGGAUGCUUCAGGGAUUUAGCUAUUUUCUAGCAUUAUGGACUAGACAGGUUAUUAUUAUUAUGUAUCCUGAGAGAACACUACCUUCCAGCUUAAAGGAAAGAUAAUUUCAAGUGUAUCUUGAUGCAUCGCAUAUACUCAGGUCUCUCAUUUAGCUCAAUUAGGUAACAGUCCUGCAAAAAUCUGUGUUUAGAAUGAUAUGCCCAAGUAAUUGGGUUUGUAAGUAUGUCUGCACUGAUUCUUGCAGAGUUGAAAACCACUUUAGGGUGAUACUUUCAUAAAGACUUUUCUGGUAGUAAACAUUUCCCAACUUUCAGUUUAUAAAUAUCAUUGAACUAAACAUUAAAGAACCAAAUUGAAGCCAAACAUGGUGAAUUUUCUUGGCAUCCAGCUGUUAGGUAUGUAUUGACCUUAAAUUGAGUACAGUUGUUGUUUGAGUUUUGCAUGUUCGGAAGCAAAAUCAAGAAAGAAGAGACAAACAUCCCUUCGGUCCCUUGUGGUCUUGAGGGAUACAAAGAGCCUCAAUCCAAUCCACCAAUUUAAUAAACCUAAAUUGCCACCCACUGUCACAUGAAAUAUUAGUAGCAGAGAUAAAUCUGUGUUUUUUGACAGCAUGCAGUCCCACUUCAUUAUGAGCCUUACAAGUUAUAGAACACAAACAGUUCUGCACACAAUAUUGUAUGGGUAUGUAAAAAUACCACCAUCAUUUGCCAUCUUCACCGAUUUAUAUUUUGAUAAAGACUACAGUUGAUAGUAAUAUUUCACUUUGAAUUGUAGUGAUAUUCAAAGAACUCAAGAAUGUUAAGUGUUGUUUUUUGUUAGUUAGUUUUCAUAUUGUUGCUUCUCUGGAGAAGUUUCCUAUUCAGCUGUAUGAAAUGAAAGGAUGAUCAUUCAUUCAUUCAUACAACAGAUGUUCCUACUGGCCUGGAGCUUUUAUUCUAGUGGAGGAAAACGUCAAAUGAAGAUUUUAAUAUAUAUGUUAAUGGGACUACAUACUAAGGAGAUAAUAAAGCAGAGUGAAUAGAGAACAAUGGGAAAUGAUAUUAAAUACCAUGUCUUGGGAAUGAUAUUUCUGACAGAGAGUGGAGCACAGACCUGAAUGGAGUGGAAGAGGGAACCGUUUAGAUUUAUGGGCAAAGAGAGGUACAUUCAAUAUUUAGUUAGAACAAGUAGAAGGGGUGUGCUUGAUAUGUUGAAGGAACAUCAAGAAGGGCAUUGUGGCCAGAAGAGAGUAAAGCAUGGACAAGUUAGAGAUGAGAAAGGGGAGGAUGUCCAUCAUAUAGAGCCUGGUCACCAGGGUAGACCUUGUCUGUUAUUCUGAGAGAAAUGGGAGUCAUUAAAGGGAUUUUAGCCAGUAAAGGGCAUGGUGUAGCUCGUGUGUUUUAAAACUCACUUGCUGUGCAGUAGAAAAUUGACAGAACACUGUAAAUCAGCUAUGAUGGAAAAAAUAAAAAUCAUUAUUAAAAAAACUCAUUUGGACUUAUAGGUUGGGUAAAACUUUAAAACUUUUUCUUUAUACAUGGAAUAUAAAUUAUGAAUAAAAAUAGACUUAAAAUAUUAGAGCAACAUUAUCUAAUUAAGAUUUUGGCUGAUGAUUGUGUUCAAGGAGCUAAUGUUAAAAUAAAACAACUAUCAUUUUUCAGUUUUUAUGUCCAUAAUUUGCAGAAUUAUUUUGAUUUUGAAUCAUGUUCUCUGGUUUUGUAUAAUAACUUCUAGUUUCAUAAUAGGCACAUUAAUGACAAGGACAUGUCGUGUUUAGAAAUAUCUGUGUCUGAUUAGUUGCUUUGCGUAGCUGAAUUUCCCAUUUGUUUGUCAUUUAUAAUUUCCACCCAAAGUAUGUGGCCUUGUAUAAGUCCACAAACAAGACAUGAACUUUAUCUUCUAGUGGUAAGGGAGAAUGUUUGAAAAUUAUGUUAUGGUUUGUUAUGUUGAUCACAUGACCCAUGAGACUAUUUAUGAGAAGGAAAUGUGGAAUUUUUUUUUUUUUUUUUUUUAAACAGCUUUGUAGGACUCAGAGGGCAUGAUUUCUGGAACUAGCUCUGAAACUUACCAGCUAGGUGACUUGGGGUCUUUAAGCUAGGUUUGCUGCUAAAUGACCAACUCUGCUUCUCCCAUAAAGAGAAAUGCACAGGAUGUUUCUGUUAUCUCUGCAGCUCCUUUACGUUUGUUAAACCAGUGGGUGUGGUACCUAAAUAAAAAUUGGUUGUAGGAGUCACCUGUCACCUAUAUUAAAAGUGACUUUUUUUUUUCUUUUUUUAAGCAUGUGUGUCCUUUCAGGUCCGCAGCAUAUGGAAGUUUCCACGCUAGAGCUGCCAGCCAAAGCCACAGCCACAGCCAUGCCAGAUCUGAGCCACGUCUGUGAGCUGCACCAUGGCUCAUAGCAACUCUGGAUCCUUAACCCAUGGAACUAGGCCAGGGAUCAAACCUGGGUCCUCAUGGAUACUAGUUGGAUUCAUUAUCUCUGAGUCAUAAGGGAAACUCCAGAAGUGACCAUAUUUGAUAUAAAGGAAAAAAAAAAAAAA
rnacentral:lncRNA from 1 species